UACGGAGGGGGCUAGCGUUGUUCGGAAUUACUGGGCGUAAAGCGCACGUAGGCGGCUUUGUAAGUUAGAGGUGAAAGCCCGGGGCUCAACUCCGGAAUUGCCUUUAAGACUGCAUCGCUAGAAUUGUGGAGAGGUAAGUGGAAUUCCGAGUGUAGAGGUGAAAUUCGUAGAUAUUCGGAAGAACACCAGUGGCGAAGGCGACUUACUGGACACAUAUUGACGCUGAGGUGGCGAAAGCGGUGGGGAGCAAACAGG
rnacentral:rRNA from 1 species